rnacentral:rRNA from 1 species
CCUACGGGUCGCACCAGUGGGGAAUAUUGCACAAUGGGCGCAAGCCUGAUGCAGCCAUGCCGCGUGUAUGAAGAAGGCCUUCGGGUUGUAAAGUACUUUCAGCGGGGAGGAAGGUGUUGUGGUUAAUAACCACAGCAAUUGACGUUACCCGCAGAAGAAGCACCGGCUAACUCCGUGCCAGCAGCCGCGGUAAUACGGAGGGUGCAAGCGUUAAUCGGAAUUACUGGGUGUAAAGCGCACGCAGGCGGUCUGACAAGUCGGAUGUGAAAUCCCCGGGCUCAACCCGGGAGCUGCAUUCGAAACUGGCAGACUAGAGUCUUGUAGAGGGGGGUAGAAUUCCAGGUGUAGCGGUGAAAUGCGUAGAGAUCUGGAGGAAUACCGGUGGCGAAGGCGGCCCCCUGGACAAAGACUGACGCUCAGGUGCGAAAGCGUGGGGAGCAAACAGGAUUAGAUACCCUCGUAGUC